UACAGAGGGUGCGAGCGUUGUUCGGAUUCAUUGGGCGUAAAGGGUGCGUAGGUGGCGGGGUAAGUUGGAUGUGAAAUCUCGGAGCUCAACUCCGAAACUGCAUUCAAUACUGCCUUGCUAGAGUACUGGAGAGGAGAUUGGAAUUUACGGUGUAGCAGUGAAAUGCGUAGAUAUCGUAAGGAAGACCAGUGGCGAAGGCGGAUCUCUGGACAGUUACUGACACUGAGGCACGAAGGCCAGGGGAGCAAACGGG
rnacentral:rRNA from 1 species